rnacentral:rRNA from 1 species
UACGUAGGGGGUAAGCGUUGUCCGGAAUCAUUGGGCGGAAAGAGCGUGUAGGCGGUCCGGUAAGUCGGCUGGGAAAUCCCGGGGCUCAACCCCGGGACUGCAUUCGAUACUGUCAGGCUAGAGGUAGGUAGGGGAGAUCGGAAUUCCUGGUGUAGCGGUGAAAUGCGCAGAUAUCAGGAGGAACACCGGUGGCGAAGGCGGAUCUCUGGGCCUUACCUGACGCUCAGGCGCGAAAGCCAGGGGAGCAAACGGG